UGUCUUCAAGUAAUCGAUGUUGCUAGAAUACUUACUGUCGUGUGCACAUCUUGAGAUCAUGGCCAGCACACGACUCAGGUCAUGGCUUGGUGCCUCAUAUAAACCUGCAUAAAUAUGCAAAAUUGUACUGCAAGUUGCAUCGGUAGCAGUGGAGAAUCCAGACGCUUGCUGUUGUCACUUGCAGAGGUCCAGGAAAAAAAGUGUAGUGGUUCAGGAAAAACAGAGAGGAGCUGCUCUGUUAUUCAUUUAGUCAAUCUUUUGGCCUAUCUCCUUCUGUAUUAUGAUUUUCCAUCUUGAGAAAAAAAAGGCAAAACAUGUAAAGUUGUAUGGUUUUUUUAUGUUUACAUUUUUUUGUUUUGUGGAGAAUUAAAGGAUCGUGUAGGCUUGCCCUUGAAUCCAACUGUUUUUAGUUUUUUAGUGUCCAGGAAAAAAUAUUGGGAACAUUGUCAUGCUAGCCACCUGACGCUCGGCAUAUCCUCUCCCUCGUGGCAUCCAGCUUUGCUGCAGGGACCAAAAGGUGCUCCAUCACCGGAUUCAUCAUAUUGGAAUCCUCUCUUCUUGUGUGGUUUAGUCAACUUUGUUUUCCUGUAUGAUACAGUUGGGGUCUAGAUCGAAGUUGGCUGAGCUAUUGGGUGGCUCUGAAGAUGUGUUUGUGUUAGAGAUUAGUUUACAUGCAAAACAAGCCUCAGCAUAUUUGAGAUGAUGGCUGUUGCUGCACGUGAAGAGUUGGUUAAUAUGAAGAAGUUCCUAAUUAACUGACUUGAGCCAUUUGCACAGAACCGGUGCUCUCCCGUUGCAACACACGGGCAUUUGAUGAGAGAACGGACGUAAGCACAUUGACAUAAAUAUAUGCAGGAAGGAAUUAAAGGAGAGACUACACAACUCGGGUGACAAAGAGUUGCGCCUAUGGCCGAUUAAAUAGAACUGAAAAAAGUCUGCGUCUACAAUGACACACCUCGAGGAAAAAAGAUCGGAUGAUGAGAAAGGAAAAAGGAGAGAUUGGAUCGGGACAA